rnacentral:rRNA from 1 species
UACGAAGGGGGCAAGCGUUGUUCGGAAUUACUGGGCGUAAAGGGCGCGUAGGCGGCUUAUCAAGUCAGGCGUGAAAUUCCCGGGCUCAACCUGGGGGCUGCGCUUGAUACUGAUUGGCUUGAAUGCGGGAGAGGAUAGUGGAAUUCCCAGUGUAGAGGUGAAAUUCGUAGAUAUUGGGAAGAACACCGGUGGCGAAGGCGGCUAUCUGGCCCGUAAUUGACGCUGAGGCGCGAAAGCGUGGGUAGCAAACGGG